rnacentral:misc_RNA from 1 species
UUCCGACAUCAGAACGAUGUUUAAAUUCAUCUUAUUUUCUGUCUAUGUAUUAAGGUUGAACCAAGAAUAUCUGCAAGAUUAAGAUAAAGAGGAGAAGGUAGUUGAUUAUAAGUAAGCGGUACUGUAACUUGUCGAUGUUACGGUUAGAGUGACCAAAUCUAACGUGGUUUGAAAAUAAACGCUAUUAGUGAAGUUAAUAAUGAUAAUUUGAAAAUGAUUCUUUGGACGUUACGACGCAUUCAACAUGUAUUUUACCUUUUACUGUUCAAGAUAUUUCUAAAUGCAUUUUCACCGAGUAUCUGCUCUCGUCUAAAUUAUAAAUGAUCGAUAGACUGAAUAUAUCAAGAACGUUGAUAUUACUGAAUACAUGUUGAAACACGAUGAUAGUUAUAUUAAAAGAAUUUUCAUCGAUUCAAGUUCAACGGUUUUGGUUUUUACACUGAACUGAUUUUUUUUUUCUAUCAUAACGUUAUAAAGUGAUGGUGCCUUGGAGUUUUAUCCAACAAUGAAUCCAAAUUAUUUUAAAAGAAGUUUUAUACCACUAAUACUUUUGUAUAUGAGUCAUAAUUGCUAUUUGUGCUUUGAAAUAACUCAUGAAGAUAUCAGAAGUGCAAUUCUCAGUCUCGCUCAUAUUAUGCGAGAAAAUACAGAAAAAUUAGAAAGGCAUGAAUUCCGUGAUCGUCAGGUAGAUGAACAAUUACGAAAAGCAUUAAUGGUUAUUAGUAGGAGAAUACAACUGAUUGAUAAUUUCGAAUCUCAAUUUAAUGAUGUUAACAAAAAAAUGGAUAAAGUUGAGCAGUUCUUCAUAAAGCUGUCGAUAAUAUAAUGGAGCCCCCAUCACACCAUAAACAACUGGGGCCGCCAACCAAACCGAAUAAAACUAGUACUACAGGAGACCGAAAUCCGAGCCCGGGGAGCGUGACAUCCGUCCCCAAUAAGAUGUCAGUCAAAGGCAUUUUUACAAUCUUUUAAAUUUAAAUCUUUAAAUGUAUAAUCUUACUGAUUGUCAAUCAAAUUCUAU